rnacentral:rRNA from 1 species
CGUGUAGGCGGCCAGACAGGUCAGCUGUGAAAACUCGAGGCUCAACCUCGAGGCGUCGGUUGAAACCGUUUGGCUAGAGUCCGGAAGAGGAGAGUGGAAUUCCCGGUGUAGCGGUGAAAUGCGCAGAUAUCGGGAAGAACACCCGUGGCGAAGGCGGCUCUCUGGGACGGUACUGACGCUGAGACGCGAAAGCGUGGGGAGCGAACA